CUCGGGCCUUGUACACACCGCCCGUCACACCACAAGAGUUUACAACACCCGAAGCCGGUGGGGUAACCGCAAGGAGCCAGCCGUCGAGGUGGGGUAGAUGAUUGGGGUG
rnacentral:rRNA from 1 species